AGGGGUGGCGUUUGGGGAUGGACAGAGGUGGGGUGGCGUUUGGGGAGGAGGGAAGGGGAAGGUCUAGCGGCGGCGGCGGAGGGGUAGUCGAGGUGGCCGCUCGGGAAGGAGUGGCGUAGCGGCGGGAGUGCGGGUAGGUACCGUAGGGGGCGCGGGAAGGUAGUUGUAGGUACCGGAGGGGGCGCGGGAAGGAGUGGCGUAGCGGUGGGGUUGGGGGAGGGAAGGAGAGGGGCUGCGAGGGGAGCGAGGCCCGGAAGUAGGAGAGGCCGGUCUAGUUGGCCCGCGCCGGGGAUGGGAUCCGUCCCUCCCGCCUAGCGGCGACGCGCCCGCGUGCCCUUCCCCACCGCCGCCUUCGCGUAGGGGUUCUAGAUCGGGCAGUUCGUGGCACAACUUCAGAGAGGAAGCUCCUCGAGAUACACGCCCACACGCCUCCGCGAUCACUCCCGCCACCACCGGAAUAAGCUGCGGAAGGAGCAGCUGACGAAGGAGAAGACCAAGGCGGCGAGGGCGGGGCCGGGGCUGUCGGGGCGGAGGCGGGUGGCCCUAGGCGAGCACGGGUUCCUGACCUGUCCCCUCCACGAGGGCCGGAGCCUGCUUCUUUCCACGGGACCCAAAGAGCCAGUCUAAACACCAACUGGAGAGACGGCGACCAACCUACAGACACACCACAACAAAGUCCAAAACGUCUCUCGUGUAACAGCUUGGUCGUCAACCGUCUACCGUUACUGUGUAUACUCCUCGAAUCCGCUCUCUUGUGAUGAAGUCAAUUAUGUGAUAGGUCAUGACGAUCAAGAGUAGAGCGAACAACACGAAGAACAUGACCCUCGUGAGAAACAAUAGGGUUCUAGAUUGUAGUUUCCGUUGUACCACUUAGAUCAUGUCCGUAGCAACCGGUAGGAGAAGCUCCGACACAAAUCACAUCCUACUCGACGUCGUCCUGUUGGACAUCGCCUUCUUGAAGCUCCCGUUCUAGUUCCUCUUGGUCCUCUGCUAGUGGCCAAUGGAGUAGGAGCAGCCGUACCAACCGAGGAAACCGUCUGGGGAGAAACCGAGGCUGGUUGAAUGAAAACAGCGACCGAUCGUCGUAAAGGUCCACAACACACAAGACCUUCUACCUUCUCCUUCUCCUUCUUUUAAAUAAAAACAACUUGAUAAAAAAACAUAAUACAAACAACAUGUAUACUAAACUAUCAAAACAUAUCCUUGUACACUAUGAUAAAACAUCCCUAAAUGUCGGACACUACAUUUGUAUAAAUCACUACUUAAUACUUUAAUAAACGUUUUAAAUAGCUUUUC
rnacentral:rRNA from 1 species